rnacentral:rRNA from 1 species
AGGGUUUGAUCCUGGCUCAGAGCGAACGCUGGCGGCGUGGAUUAGGCAUGCAUGUCGAGCGAGAACGGGGAGCAAUCCCUUAGUAAAGCGGCACACGGGUCAGUAAUGCGUGGAUAACUUGCCCUCGAGAUUGGGAUAACGGCGGGAAACUGCCGCUAAUACCGGAUGGCCUCGCGACCCGGCAUCGGAAUGCGAGUAAAGGUGGGGCCCAUCGAAAGAUGGCCUGCUGCUCGAGGAGAGGUUCACGACCUAUCAGCUAGUUGGUGAGGUAACGGCUCACCAAGGCUACGACGGGUAGGCGGGCUGAGAGGCUGACCGCCGACACUGGGACUGAGAACUGCCCAGACUCCUACGGGAGGCUGCAGUCGAGAAUCUUCCGCAAUGGACGCAAGUCUGACGGAGCGACGCCGCGUGCGGGAUGAAGGUCUUUGGAUUGUAAACCGCUGUCACGCGUUAUGAAUGCGCUGCAGCGAACACCUGCUGCGUUGACAAAGGCGCGAGAGGAAGCCACGGCUAACUCUGUGCCAGCAGCCGCGGUAAUACAGAGGUGGCAAGCGUUGCUCGGUAUCACUGGGCUUAAAGGGCGCGUAGGCGUGUGGUACGGUUUCGGUGAAAUCCCUCGGCCCAACCGAGGAACAGCCGGGGCUACGGCCGCACUAGACGGCAUCAGGGGACAGUGGAACUCCCGGUGGAGCGGUGAAAUGCGUAGAUAUCGGGAGGAACGCCGGUGGCGAAAGCGACUGUCUGGGGUGCCUGUGACGCUGAGGCGCGAAAGCCAGGGGAUCAAACGGGAUUAGAUACCCCGGUAGUCCUGGCCCUAAACGAUGCGCACUAGGUAGCGGGAGGUUCCGACUUCCCGCUGCCGGAGUAGAAAUCUUAAGUGCGCCGCCUGGGGAGUACGGCCGCAAGGUUAAAACUCAAAGGAAUUGACGGGGGCUCACACAAGCGGUGGAGGAUGUUGCUUAAUUCGAAUCAACGCGUAGAACCUUACCAGGACUUGACAUGCUGGUAGUAGGACCCGGAAACGGGAACGACCCUCUUUACGGAGGGAGCCAGCACAGGUGUUGCAUGGCUGUCGUCAGCUCGUGCCGUGAGGUGUCGGGUUAAGUCCCAUAACGAGCGAAACCCCUGUCACUAGUUACCAACGCGUCAUGGCGGGGACUCUAGUGAGACUGCCGGUGUCAAACCGGAGGAAGGUGGGGACGACGUCAAGUCAUCAUGGCCCUUACGUCCUGGGCCGCAAACGUCCUACAAUGGCCGGUACAAAGGGUCGCCAACCCGCGAGGGGGAGCUAAUCCCAAAAAGCCGGCCUCAGUUCGGAUCGUAGGCUGAAAUUCGCCUGCGUGAAGCUGGAGUCGCUAGUAAUCGCGGAUCAGCUAUGCCGCGGUGAAUGUGUUCCUGAGCCUUGUGCACACCGCCCGUCAAGCCAUGGGAGCCGGGAGUACCCAAAGUCGUCGACCGAACCGCAAGGGCGGAGACGACCACGGUAAGACCGGUGACUGGGACUAAGUCGUAACAAGGUA